UCUCUCCUCUGACUCCCACCGCUUCAUCUCCCACGAUAGCGUCUCCUCCAUCUAAAGAUGCCGCUCUAGCUUCGAUGGCUACACCUCCCGCAGCCACUCCUCCUGCGGCCACACCAUCGAAAGGUCAUGGAGUUCCUCCUCCGUAGUUUCGUCCUUGAUUCCGUCAUCAAGAAAACCCUAACCGCCCUCCCUCUCUCCCCCGCCUCAAGAAAACUCUCCUCCUCCGCACCCUCCAAACCCUCUUCCGUACAACCACAGUUUAGACAAGAAGCGUGGGAUCUCUGGUUUCUAAAAUUCCUAUGGUGUGGAGCGUUUGAGAGAUUCUUUUUUUGUCUCUUUCUCUUUGUUCUGGAUGAGGAGCAUGCUGAAUUUUGUGGAGGAGAAGUUUUUGUGCUAGCGAGGGUGUGUUGAAAUUCAGAAGUCCUUUCCCUUGUCGAGCGAAUGACCUUGAAUUUCCCGUAGAUGUCACGGGAUAGAGCCUGACGAAAACUAGCAAGGAGGGAGGUUUUUGGUAUUUUCUGGACAAGCUGCAGGAUGCCUUCUGAAAUCAUGAAGAAGAGGGGUGCUUCUGCCUCAUCUCGCGUGUAUCCAUAUUUAUGUUUUUGGGAGCUAGAUUGGCACCAAUGUUGCCUCACGUGACUGCUUUAUUAUUACCGCCAUAUGUUUUGCUUGUUUAAUUGCUUGCAUGCCUGUUUUUAUGCUUUGCUUAUAGAUCUAUUGGGUGUGUAGACAAAAGGAUCUAUUGCAAUUUUUAGAAAGCUUAAGGGCCUCACCUGGAUCUAAAUUUUAAGGUGACUUCUUCAAUAGGAGCCAAAAUUUCUUGAUCUAGCUUUAAGUGUAGCUUUGGCAACUUUCCUGACGUUAGAAAUUAUUCGAGUGCAAUUUUGCGUGAUGAAAGAGAAAUACUUCAUCAGGAUUCCAAUGUUUUGAAGUAUAUGCGAUGACAUGUUCUUGACCGUGAAUUUGCUGUUUGAGGAUACCACCGUAACCGAUGUCUGAUGCAUCAGUUUCGACAACUUUGAAUGCUUGUGGAAUGGGAAGAUACAGACAUUUUAUGGAUUGGACUUUGACUUUGAUUUCUUUAACUGUUUGGGUAUGGAGGUCAGACCAAGGAGGCGGAUUUUUCUUUAGCCUAUUAUGCAAUGGUUUGACAAUAUUAUUUAAGUAGGGGACAAAUUCUCCUACGUAAUUUAGACAACCUAGAAAUCUUUGUAACUGGGUUUUGUCUAAGAUUUGGUUGGGAAAUUUGCUAGCAAACUCUAUUGACCUUUCGAUUGGAAUGAUUGUACCUUGAUAAAUAUUGUGACCAAGGAAUCGAAUUCGAGUUUGGAAAAGAUUGAUUUUUGAUUUGGAGACUGCCAAACCAUUUUGUUUAAUGAUAUGGAUGAAGGUUUGGAGAUGUUUGAAAUGUUGGUCAAUGUUUUGGGAAAAGAUUAAAACAUCAUCUAUGUAGACAAUGACAAAUUUUGAAUAGGGAUUAAAAAUAUCAUUCAUAAUUUUUUGAAAUUCUGAAGGGGCAUUCUUUAGUCCGAAUGGCAUCACAUUCCAUUCAUAUUGCCCGAAAGGUACAGUAAACGCUGUUUUGUACCUAUCUGAUUCUUGGAUUUGGAUUUGCCAAAAUCCAGAUUUCAUAUCAAAUUUUGAAAAUAUCUUUGCAGA